rnacentral:lncRNA from 10 species
CGUCGACCCCACGCCACGCAGAGGUGAAGAUACGCAGGACGUCCUCUAAAGCAACUUCCGUGGGUGCCAGGUUGUGGGCUGGGGGCGGUGCUGACCUUGAGAGAGCGGAGGAGGCGCAGGCGCAGCACAGUUUAAACUUGAUUUUGUGAGGGGACGAACAGCGUGACAAUUAAAAGAAGAUCUGGGAAUCAAAAGCUUCCUGAGGCCUUCACCAGAAGCAGAUGCUGGUGCCGUGCUUCUACAGCCUGCAGAACUGAAGGACUUUACAGCUUCUCUUUCGCAUAUCCAAAUUGCCAGCAUCACCGCUCUUGCACUCCAAGCCAUUAUUAAGUAAAGUAAAGAACACAAACACUGUGAUACUGCUACACUUGAUCUGAUAACCAAGAAGUCUACUAAGUGACUAACAGCAGAGCAACUGGGAACCUAAUUCUGACCAAAAAGGAGGAAUUGUUUGGCUAAUUGGAAGUGACAGAAACCUUGGGAGAAAGCAACCGCAUACCAAGGAUAAUUAUAAGAAGAAGAGAAGACAUGGAGAAGAGGAGGGAGUAGUUGUGACCGUGGAGGCAGAGAAUGGAGUAAUGUGAUCAUAAAUCAAGGAAUGCUGACAGCCACUAAAGCUGGAGAAGGCCAAGGACAGAUAUUCAAUCCUCCCGUAGAAGUACAGCCCUGCUAAUGCAUUGAUUUUGGACUUCUGGCCUCAGAACUAUUUAUAUAUCAGCUUUUUAUCAGUUGAAAUAAACCACCCUGGGCCGGGUGCAGUGGCUCACACCUGUAAUCCCAGCACUUUGGGAGGCCGAGGUCUGGAAAGCAUGGAAAUUUGUAUCUUCAUUCACUUUUGUUUUCAUGGACUCUUUUCAUGUUUGAACUUUUCAUGGUAUGAGCUGUUUUAUAAUCUAU